GCGGCUUUAGCUCAGUUGGGAGAGCGUCAGACUGAAGUUCAAACUUCGGUAUACAAUUCAUACAAUCUGAAGGUCCUGUGUUCGAUCCACAUAAGCCGCA